UACGAAGGGGGCUAGCGUUGCUCGGAAUCACUGGGCGUAAAGGGUGCGUAGGCGGGUCUUUAAGUCAGGGGUGAAAUCCUGGAGCUCAACUCCAGAACUGCCUUUGAUACUGAGGAUCUUGAGUUCGGGAGAGGUGAGUGGAACUGCGAGUGUAGAGGUGAAAUUCGUAGAUAUUCGCAAGAACACCAGUGGCGAAGGCAGCUCACUGGCCCGAUACUGACGCUGAGGCACGAAAGCGUGGGGAGCAAACGGG
rnacentral:rRNA from 1 species